rnacentral:lncRNA from 1 species
CUCACAUGUUUCCUCACCUGUAAAAAUACAAUAAUUGGUCAUUGAAAGAAAAAUAUAAACUUAAUAUUGUUUUUUUUUAUAACAUAUCAAUCUAUUAGUUCACUUGUUUCCGUGUCUGCCCUUUCAUUUAUGUAACUCAAGAAAAAAUUCCAAUAAAUGGGUAACAAUUGUAUCGAAAAGAGAAAAUCGAGUGCACCUUUUUUUAUGUU